GGUAGCCGGACUGAGAGGUUGACCGGCCACAUUGGGACUGAGACACGGCCCAGACUCCUACGGAAGGCAGCAG
rnacentral:rRNA from 1 species